GUGGGUAUAGCUCAGUGGUAGAGCGUGUGCUUAGAUUGCACAGGUCCUGGGUUUAAUCCCCAGUGCCUCCA
rnacentral:tRNA from 1 species